rnacentral:rRNA from 1 species
GGCGAACGUUAGCGGCGGGCCUAACACAUGCAAGUCGAACGAGAAUGAGGGGGCAACUCCUCUAGUACAGUGGCGGACGGGUGCGUAACACGUGGGUAAUCUACCUUCCGGGCGGGGGACAACAGUCCGAAAGGAUUGCUAAUACCGCAUACGUCGGCAGGGUCUACGGGCCUUGUCGGGAAAGAUGGCCUCUCCUUGGAAGCUGUCACCGGAAGAUGAGCCCGCGGCCCAUCAGCUAGUUGGUGAGGUAAUGGCUCACCAA